UACGUAGGGUGCAAGCGUUAAUCGGAAUUACUGGGCGUAAAGCGCGCGUAGGCGGCUUGGUAAGUCGGAUGUGAAAGCCCUGGGCUCAACCUGGGAACUGCAUUCGAUACUGUCAAGCUAGAGUGUGGGAGAGGGUAGUGGAAUUCCCGGUGUAGCGGUGAAAUGCGUAGAUAUCGGGAGGAACAUCAGUGGCGAAGGCGACUGCCUGGCCCAACACUGACGCUGAGGUGCGAAAGCGUGGGUAGCAAACAGG
rnacentral:rRNA from 1 species